rnacentral:rRNA from 1 species
ACCUAGAGGUUUUUAUGCUGAGUGAAAUAAGUCAGAGAUUUGUCUGAUCUCGGAAGCUAAGCAGGAUCGGGCCUGGUUAGUACUUAGAUGGGAGACCACCUAGGAAGACCAGGUGCUGUAGGUG